UAUAAUUAGUGAAUUUCUUAAUCAGUGGUAUUACAUCUUACGUUGAUACAUUUGUGAAGAGCUUUGUUAUCUACGGCCAGUUGAAAGGCAUUUUAACUAUUAACCGAAGUAUUGAAAUCUUUUAUCAAAAGUCUUAACGUUAACGACAAACGAAUAAAAGAUUGUAUUAGAGUUUAAUUCGAUAUCUUCCAUUGUACCUUCCAAUAUAAUAAUGUAAAGUUUAUUAACGAGAAGUAGAAUCAUAUAUCUAAUUAAAAAUAAACAACUAAUAGAUUUCGUUCCAUUACAAAGAUAUAUAUACAUACAUUUAUGCGUACACAUUAAAAGUAUUGCUAAUAAAAAAUCAAUAGGAUUAUAGAAAACAUUUCAUUGUAAAUUGAUGCCGAAAAUAACAAAUACCCUUCAAUAAUGUGUAAUUUUUUCUUUUUCUAUCAAGUAUUAAUUUCUUUUUAAUCAAUUUAAACAUUUUUAGUUCAUAAUGUAUCAAUAACAAUAUCAGAUAUUUAAUUUUGGCUCAUUGCAGAACAAAGGUUGCUCGUUACUGUCCAUACAAUAUAAGAAAAUCUCAAGCAAUACCCAAGAGAAAGACUACUGUAUACUUUGUGUAUGUGUGCGUGGGUGUGUAUAUUAUGUAUCUAGUUAUGUACAUAUGUAUCUAUUUACAAACGUAUGUUUAUAUGGGAUCUUCCAACAUUCCACCUUGGUGGUUGCCGAAAGACUGAUCUCAUACGAUAUUCGACAGAAAGUAAAUAACAUAAGGUGGAUUUAGAUAUUUCAGCUUAUAGAGAAACAUAUAAACAUUGUAAUAAGAUUUGCUUUGUAUACGUCAGCUAGUAAAUGGUAUAAACAUUCUCUUUUUC